rnacentral:rRNA from 1 species
UACGAAGGUGGCUAGCGUUGUUCGGAUUUAUUGGGCGUAAAGGGUCCGUAGGCGGUUUGAUAAGUCAGGUGUGAAAUCCCACAGCUUAACUGUGGACACGCAUUUGAUACUGUUAGACUAGAGUAUGAGAGGGGUGAGAGGAAUUUCCAGUGUAGGGGUGAAAUCCGUAGAUAUUGGAAAGAACACCGGCCGCGAAGGCGUUUCACUGGCUCAUUACUGACGCUCAGGGACGAAAGCUAGGGGAGCAAACAGG